rnacentral:rRNA from 1 species
GACGUAGGGCGCGAGCGUUGUCCGGAUUUAUUGGGCGUAAAGAGCUCGUAGGCGGCUUGUCGCGUCGUCCGUGAAAACCUGCAGCUCAACUGCAGGCUUGCGGUCGAUACGGACAGACUAGAGGUAGGUAGGGGAGAAUGGAAUUCCCGGUGUAGCGGUAAAAUGCGCAGAUAUCGGGAGGAACACCGGUGGCGAAGGCGGUUCUCUGGGACGGUACUGACGCUGAGACGCGAAAGCGUGGGGAGCGAACAGG